AGUCGAAGCCUGGCUUAGGCACGGGCGUAAAUACGGUGUAAUUAUUUCAAAUAAUUCGAUAAAGUGCUCAACAUUAUUACCUGCUUUUUCAGGUCAAAAAUGACCUUGCUUCCGGUAUACAGAAUCCUGGAAAAUUUUACCAACGCGUUUGGACUUUACGGCCGUUUUUAUGACCUCCAUAAAAGCCGAACCCUCGGUAUUGAACCGGCAACUGUUAUUUCAAAAACGCACAUGCGCAAAAAAACGAAGUAAAAAGCUUUGGUGAAAAAAAUUACAAAAUAAUGUGUGGUAAAAUUUUAUGGACAACCUGUACAUUUAGGAAAAUACCAUCGAGUUACCUUAGGUCGUUGACAUUAUUUUUAUCGACUGGGAUUAUGAAAUAACCCGACCUAAUUAAAUUAAUAGACAAACGAUUAUAAACUGUGUAUAAUUAUUUAAUUUUUGCUUUUUUAUCUAAUGGUGCCCCAUUUUUCCGGUGGGUGUUACAAAACAAUCGAAGGUCACCGAUUUCCCCACCCACAACCACGCAAACACUCUGUAUAUUGAUUUUUUCCAAAAACCGAAAAUAAUGCACUCAAAAUUGCAGAAAAAACCACGAGUUACGAGUUUGAGUGCACGAUUCGGCCAAAAAAACUGAACUAAAAUUCUCCAAGGACGCGACGCAUUUUCGGAAAAACCGGCGAAAAGCGCAAAACUUUCGCGAAAAUGUGUCCAAGAUGCGAUAAUUCGAAGGUCAGAUCGUCAAAAAAGUUUGUAAACAGCCGUUGGAUGUCAAAAAGGGGCUGUCGAAUAUCAAGAAACUUGCAAACAGCAAGAUGGCGGAGCGACGCCACUUACCUUCACCGGCAGACAGGAGUUGAUUUUGACGAAAGUCUGCUCCUUGGUGGCGUUUUCUUCGAAAAUUGGAACAUUUACUUGGUCCUUAACUAAACACAAACGGCACAGUUCGGAAAUGUUUUCGAUUGAACCCAUUUUGCUGGGUCUUCGGACA